rnacentral:rRNA from 1 species
AACGAGCGCUGGCAGCAGGCCUAACACAUGCAAGUCGAACGCACCGCAAGGUGAGUGGCGCACGGGUGAGUAACACGUGGGAAUGUACCCUUUGGUUCGGAAUAACGUUUGGAAACGAACGCUAAUACCGGAUGAGCCCUGUGGGGGAAAGAUUUAUCGCCAAAGGAGCAGCCCGCGUCUGAUUAGCUAGUUGGUGGGGUAAAGGCCUACCAAGGCGACGAUCAGUAGCUGGUCUGAGAGGAUGAUCAGCCACACUGGGACUGAGACACGGCCCAGACUCCUACGGGAGGCCAGCAGUGGGGAAUAUUGGACAAUGGGCGGAAGCCUGAUCCAGCCAUGCCGCGUGAGUGAUGAAGGCCUC